rnacentral:rRNA from 1 species
UACGGGGGGGGGCAAGCGUUGUCCGGAAUUAUUGGGCGUAAAGGGCUCGUAGGCGGCGAUCUAAGUCAGAGGUGAAAGCCCGGGGCUCAACCCCGGAACUGCCUUUGAGACUGGAUUGCUAGAAUCUUGGAGAGGCGAGUGGAAUUCCGAGUGUAGAGGUGAAAUUCGUAGAUAUUCGGAAGAACACCAGUGGCGAAGGCGGCUCGCUGGACAAGUAUUGACGCUGAGGUAGCGAAAGC